rnacentral:lncRNA from 1 species
AUAGACCAAGUGUUUCAUCCUCUCAACAUAGCCCAGCGCCCGACGAUAAAACCAGCUGCCAGAGACCACUGGGAGGCAGUGGACAGGACCGAGGGUGUGGGGAGUGGAGCAGGGCUCCUCGUAGGAUACACUAAGGGCUGCCCGGCCGUGAGUUUCACCCAGAUCUUCUUCUGGGGCUGUCUACGGUGUGACACAGCUGUCGGGACUACCGAGACCUCCCUAUGAGAGGACGCGGUCAUUUUUAGACAUAUCAGGCAACACCAGCCGCAUACUUCGCCAAGGACAAGGGAGGUCCUCUGCGCCCUCCGUGAAGGAGCUGUCGGCUCUCUAUCUCUCCCAGACAGCUGCUGCUGCUGACGCCGGCAGCCCCCCACAGCCGAGUACUGUGAAGGACAACUCCAUUCGCCCUCCCCACAGCCAGAGAAAAAGCAAGGUAAGAACUGUUAAAGAUAAGCACGGUUAUCUAACCAAAUAUUUGUGGACUGUGGUGGAGUGUGAUUUAAAUAAAUGCCCACACAAGGCAGUGAGGAGUGCUUUCAUACUGAAUAUAGCUAUCAGCUGCUCAGUCGCCCUUCCCCGCGUUCAGCAGUUCUUCACAGAUUCAAAAAAAAAAAAAAAAAAUCCCUGAUUUUUAAAAGUGCAUUCAAAGUAUGUUGGCUCAUGUAAAAGAUAUGCAUUUUACAUUUGCUGCAAACUAUGCUGAUUUUGGUAUUCUGCUUUUUUUUUUUUUUCUUCACUAAUGUUCAAUACUUAUUUUUAGCCAGAACAAUCUGUGUGUAACAGAGUGAAAUAACACCGCGCGCCAUUGCUUUGAGCAACAACUAAUAAUAUUCCAGGCAUAACUCUACAGACGUAACUCCACAGGCAUGCCAAGGGUCAGCAGAUCUGUUUACUGAAAGGAAAGCCACCAGGAUUACAGUCUCUUUUAGAUAAUGAUUAUAGGCCUCGGCUACCUUCCCUUUGGAUAAGCGCCAAGCCAGGGCAGGUCGCAGGUAUUCGGUUCAGCGCUCGGUCCUCAGGCUUCCCGAGCCACAGAGUAAAAAUGCAGAAAGUGAGGUUCAAGGGUAGGCUAAACAGUCACAGUCCAACCCAUCACUCCUGCACCCUCUCUUCACUCCUGCACCCACGCUGCUCUGGGUUUGAGCUGAGCUCAGGCUGGCUGAGUCUAAACAGGUCUAACUUUUGCCGGCUGCUACCCAAACCUCUGCUCCCUCAGCCUUGCAUUUUCCUCCUAACAGAGCACAGAAUUUAGC